rnacentral:rRNA from 1 species
CCUACGGGAGGCAGCAGUGGGGAAUAUUGCGCAAUGGGCGAAAGCCUGACGCAGCGACGCCGCGUGAGGGAUGAAGGUCUUCGGAUCGUAAACCUCUGUUAGCAGGGAAGAACGGGCACUGUGCUAAUCAGCAGCGAUUUGACGGUACCUGCAAAGGAAGCACCGGCUAACUCCGUGCCAGCAGCCGCGGUAAUACGGAGGGUGCGAGCGUUAACCGGAAUUACUGGGCGUAAAGCGCUCGUAGGCGGUAUGUCAAGUCAAGGGUGAAAGCCCCGGGCUCAACGUGGGAACUGCAUUUGAAACUGGCAGACUUGAGUGUGUGAGAGGAUAGUGGAAUUCCAGGUGUAGGAGUGAAAUCCGUAGAUAUCUGGAGGAACACCAGUGGCGAAAGCGACUAUCUGGCACAUAACUGACGCUGAGGAGCGAAAGCGUGGGUAGCAAACAGGAUUAGAUACCCGAGUAGUC